UACGUAGGGUGCAAGCGUUGUCCGGAAUUAUUGGGCGUAAAGAGCUCGUAGGCGGUUCGUCGCGUCGGCUGUGAAAACCCGGAGCUCAACUCCGGGCCUGCAGUCGAUACGGGCGGACUUGAGUGUUGCAGGGGAGACUGGAAUUCCUGGUGUAGCGGUGAAAUGCGCAGAUAUCAGGAGGAACACCGGUGGCGAAGGCGGGUCUCUGGGCCGAUACUGACGCUGAGGAGCGAAAGCGUGGGGAGCGAACGGG
rnacentral:rRNA from 1 species